rnacentral:rRNA from 1 species
AUACGGAGGAUCCGAGCGUUGUCCGGAUUUAUUGGGUUUAAAGGGAGCGUAGGCGGACGCUUAAGUCAGUUGUGAAAGUUUGCGGCUCAACCGUAAAAUUGCAGUUGAUACUGGGUGUCUUGAGUACAGUAGAGGCAGGGGGAAUUCGUGGUGUAGCGGUGAAAUGCUUAGAUAUCACGAAGAACUCCGAUUGCGAAGGCAGCCUGCUGGACUGUAACUGACGCUGAUGCUCGAAAGUGUGGGUAUCAAACAGGAUUAGAUACCCUGGUAGUCCACACAGUAAACGAUGAAUACUCGCUGUUUGCGAUAUACAGUAAGCGGCCAAGCGAAAGCGUUAAGUAUUCCACCUGGGGAGUACGCCGGCAACGGUGAAACUCAAAUGAAUUGGCGGG